UACCUUGGAGAAGAAAAAGAAAAGUUAAAAUUUUAGAGAAAUGGAUGUUCUAUAUGAAUGGAAAGUUUUAGUUCAGAUUAAAGUAUUAUUAGAGCUUCCAUGAACUAUAGAACAUAUCCUAUCAAUCCAUGCCUUUGAAUACGCUGAUUGUCUAAGUGUUGAUAGCUUUAAUAAUAGGCCCUUUAAGGUAGGAGAGGUUUAUUGUUGCGCGGUUAUUUAACUUAACACAAAGUUGUGUUCAUCUUUCACACGUAUGGAACUUGAAAAGUGUCUUUUUUCUUUUGGGAGUGAGCUGUCUGCUAGCACGUGCUGUCUGUUAUUCUAACCUGGUGAGCCCCUGAGGUGUGAAGACCUAACCUGGGGCCACCUCUGCCUCCCAACUGGGGAGAGGAAUCUACCCAACUUCCUCUUCUGUCUGAGCCACGUGGCCCUUACAUUGAGCUCUACCUGCCAUCUUAGUCUUGGCCAUUAAUACAGGGGAUAUUUUGAUGCUCCAAAAAAUUAAAAAAACAAACACAAGAAAUCCUUGACACCCAAAUUUUUAAAAGGCCAUUUUUUUUUGAGUAGCACAGAAUUAGAACAUUCUCUUUUCCCAACAUUUUAUGAUGAAGAAUAUUCAAACAUAGAGUAAAUCUGAAAGAAUUUCAUAGACUUACGACUUUGAUUCUCUCAUUAACACGCACUUUACUCAUUUUCUCACACUAUCCAUCCUAUUUUUUUUUUGACACGUUUUAAAGUCAAAAAUGGGUAUCAGUCCACUUCCCUCAGAUUUUGUAAUUGUAAAAUUAACACACAGUGAAACGCACUUGUGUUAAGUGUGGACUUACUGAGUUUGGAUAGCAGUGGUACCUGUGACACCUAACAAGAUAUAUAAAGUAUUCUGAAAUACCUAGAGUUAAGGUAAGUUCAGACUCUUGUGCUUGGUGUCCUACCGAUGGGGGUGGAAAAUGCGGAGGAAGGGUCGGGGGGGCUGUGGAGGGGACUAGUCUCUGUAUUCAGAAAGUCUCUGGUUUCAACAAACGUUCCAAAUAGAAAGGGAAAGAACUGACACGGUGUCUGACACGGUGUUGGCAGAACCCCUGCAGGAGACAGUGAUAUGGCCUGCUGUGUCUGCUGGCAUAUGCAGAAAAGUGGGCAGGAGUUAGUAGUGGAUGAAGGGAGAGAACAUAGGCAGGAAAAGGAUCACAUUCAGUAAGUUCUAGCUGCUAACUCAAAAUCAGCAGGUAAAGGCCACCUUAACAAGGCCCUUCAUAGCUAGUUUUACCUGCCUCGAUCAGAAAGGAACUGAGACAGAAGAAAAGUAUACAUAUAUUUUCAUAGUGCAUUUAAUAUAUUAAUAAUCCACCCCCAACACUCAGCAUCUUAUGACCUUGCUGUGAGGAAAGUGGGAUCAAGACAAUUAGGUGAAUUUUGCUUUGCAGCUCACAGCUACGCAAGUUGUACACUGCACAACUAACUUCAGAGAGCUCCAUUCAUACCAACCUCGGUGACUGAGUGAUAUGGAGCUCUUAGGAGGGUUGUCCAAGUCACACAAUUAUUACUCAGAGAAUGAGCUGGGACCUGGCUUUGGAUGCACACACCAGUGUUUUUUGUUUUGUUUUGUUUUGUUUUGUUUUUUCAAAUCCUAGUAUUUGUAUGAGAAUUCUUUACAUUUGAACCAAACUUUCCGGCUUAGUCAUAGAACAUUUUGCCUGGCUCUCAACAGCCCUCUGAGGCAAGUGAGGGAAGUGGACCACCAUUACAGAUGUGAUAUUGGACUUAACCCUCAUACAAAAUUGGAAACACCUGGUGUAUGCCGCACGCCAUCAAUGGCCAUUUGGGCCUUGCUGCCAUGACAGUGGAGCCUAUCUACCAUUUUCGUACAAGCAAAUGGUAGACAGGAAACCCACAGGCUGAGAGUAAACACAUGUGUGAUAUCAGCCACUUUAUGUGACUCUAGAGAAGAACUUUCGCUGCCCCCACAAUCCCAGGCUACAAUUCUCUUCCUGUAGGUUCCCAUCCAAAUCUCCGGCUCUGGCAGGAAUCUGAUGAGUGAUUCUGUGCAACUUCAGCUCAGCUGAGGACACUCACGGAAGUUGGGUUUGUGACAAAACCCAGCUGCUGCCUCCACUGGAAAUGAAUCUGGCAGCAGUGCUCCUGAACAGCAGCGGUAAUCUCUACACCCAACGUGGGCCUUGAACUCGGGACCAACAACAGUGGCGUACUCUACUGACUCAGCCAGCCAGGUACCCCUUUAGAGGUCAUUGUAAUCCCUGAAGGUAAAUGGGAGUUUUCUGGGCAGCCAGAAGAGCAGAAAGGACCUAAUAAGGAAUGAAGACUUUAUUCUGGAAGUAGCAGGGAGUCAGUGAGAGAAUUCGAACAAGAAAACAUGAUCGGACUUGUGUUUUGGCAAAAGCACCGAGAGAAGAGUAGAUUGGAGAGUAAGGGGACUUGUUAAGACCAGCUAUUGUCAAAGGAAGUAGUUUAAACCACAACAACUUAAAACACAGAGCAUUCUUGAAUAGCAUCUUCUAAAACCUGGGACUUUUCUUAAAACAUCACAAAAGCAAAAACAGUCCCAUUUUAGAAUGUAUAAAGUAGGGGAGCCUCUUUUUAAAAAUUUCCUCAAAAUGCUGUAUUUUUUUUUAUUGCUUUAUAUAAAAUCAGUAUUUUUCUCUUUAAGUAGUUCUUUGUGGUUUCUUUGUCAAGCACUAGGAAAUGAAUAAAAUCAGCCCACUGAGAAGGAUUUAGAAAGCAGAUGUGAGUAAUAGUUACCAAUUCUUCUUCUUCUUAAUUUUCUGGUAAGACACACAGCAAAGCACCUGGCUAAAUAACUUGACUUCCUUGCUGUUUUGGUGGGAAAAUGAUGGAAGUUGAGGGUCCCUGUGUUGUGUUGUGGAAAGAUUCAGAUUCUCCUCCUGAUCUAGGUCUAGGGCUUGACUACAAUCCAAGGCAUAAACUGAAAUCUGUUUUAGUAGUUGCUUCUUUAUACUGAGCCACUGUUGGUGAGUUGAACUGAAAAGGUGCUGAGGACUAAAUUCCCUGUUUUUUUUUCAGCUGGAUAUUUAAAAAAUUUUUUUUUAAUUAAUUAAUUAAGAGAAAAAGAGAGAGACUGAGACAUAGAGAGCAGGAGCGGGCAGAGGCAAAGGAAGAAAGAGACUCCAACUGAGUGGGGAUACCAACAUGGACAUGACCCUGGGAUCUGACGGUGCCAAAGGCAGACAUUUAACAGACUGAGCCGCACAGGUGCCCCUAAGCCGGAUAUUUUGAUAGCCAACCUCAGCACAGGACGUUCAGAAAGAAAAACACAUCUGCCUAACCAAAUCAGUGCUAAGACUUAGACAUGACACGUCCAUCCCACCUGCUUGCUUUGUGUGGAAGCUACAGUCUUUCCAUCUGAGGCCAGCCAGAGAAGAUGGGAAAUACAGCAAGAGGGAAAGAAGACAAAUCACGAAUGGCCAACAUGGGAAAGGACAUUAAGCCUCCCCUUCAAUUUCACCUUUCCACGGGGAAAAAAGUCUAGAAGCAAGUCCUAGAGUUGGUGAGAGAGUGAAAUACUCUGAUCUCUUAAACAUUACUGGCAAGGUUAUAAUCAGUUUGGAAAACAGUUGGGCAUGAUCUGAUGGAACUGAAGAUGCUCAAACCCUAUGAACUCAUCAGUCCCACUUCUAGGGAUGAUUCUUAGACAAACUCUUGGACAUGGGUACGAGGAAGGCAAGAAUGUUCACAAAAGCAAUAUUUGUGGUAGCAAAACACUGGCAACAACCCACAUGUCCAGCAGCGGUGGAAUGGCUGAGGGACAGAAUCAAGCAGUGGAAUACUAUAUGGCAACAAAAAAGGAAACAGCACAACUGAACCCAUCAGCAUGGAUGAAAUCUCAACAUUGCUCAGAGGCAAAAGCAUGUUAUUACAAAAUCCAUACAGAAUAAUUCCUUUUAUAGAAAAUUAAACAUGAGAAGUAAAAUAUUUAUAUAAAUGUAUAUCUGUAAAACUAUUACUUAAGGAAAUAAAAAAAAGGAUGAUAAAAACAAAAUCCAGUUCAGUGGUUCGCCUCCAGGGGCAAUGAGAGAAAGGGGUGAGUACAAAGGGGUUCAUUUAUCAUUGUUUGUUUUAUCUCAUACAAGUACUAUACAUACUUUUUGGUUAUUCAAUUUUUAACUAAAAAAAAGAGAGAGAGAGAGAAACCUCUUAUAGUUGCUAACAAAAUUUUAAAAAAUGAAUCUUAAAAAAAUAUAACAUGUUCUCUGUCAUGCUCUUUUCUUCUAACACAGAACUGAUGAGAUGGGCCAUGUGUCUAAAACAGUAAGUGGGGAGGAUACAGAGAAGCAAUUAAAGGGAAACAAAAGCAAAAAUGGGAAGUCCCCCCCUGGCAAGCAGCUCUAGGAAGACAGGGCUAGUGCCAGAAUCUAAACCUUGGGACUCUGAUUGCUGCAUAAGAAAAUAAAUAUUAGGAACAAAAAUAAACACCCACAUCUCCAUGCUGGACAGCAGAAGAGCAGAAAGUUCGGCAAACAACUGGGGUUUCUGUUUUGCUGCAUAGUUUUUUACUCUCUAACUCUCAACUCCUAUAUUCCUCUUCUUCCCUGUUUCCAUAUGUUAUUAGAAGCUCAGUGUAAAUGGAAAAAAAAAAAAAAAAGACAAAAACAAAAAAAGCUGGAUGCUUCAUUUGUUGUCAACAGGGAUGUUUCAGAUGACUGUUCAACCAGAAGGGACUUGAUGUUUUAGAAACAUCUCAUUACUCAAUGUAGCCACUUUUCUUUACUAUUAUUAGACCACCAUGUAGCAAAAUGUGGAACAUGUCCCCUUGUUCUCUGUUUCCUCCGCCUCUCACCAAGACAGUUUUUUUGUUAUGAAGUUACAACUGGAAACAAUUGCUGUAGUUCUAGGCCUUUCUGAUAAAUAAUAUUUAGUUGAGGCCUAACCUAAAAACAUAGUAUCUAUUAAGGAUCCUGUUAGACAGGAGGAGUACAUCUUAAACUAUGGAAACAGAUGAAUGCUAAGAGAGGCAGCAGCAAUAAAUAUUUCUUCCAUGCUUACUAGGUGCCGCGUAGAAUGUCAAGUAAUACACGGAUACCCAUAAUCUCAAUGAAUCCUAAUAACUAAUCCCUUCAUGAGAGAGAGAGGUAUUAAUGUUAUCCCCACUUCACGGAUGAAGAACCUCUUGGAGAAGCCAAGUGACUUCCCCAAGGUCACACAGCUAGCCAGUACUGGAGCAGUGUCUGGCACAGUAUCCGGUCUUUUAAUCUCAACACUCCGUUGCUUGAGGAUGGUGAGAGGAGGAGCUAGAAUUGCCAAGGUAAUAAGACUAGAGAGAAAAUUCAAGUCUACUUGAUAGCUAAAUUUGUAACUUUUCAAUCUGGGGUCCCCAAAGGCUAAAGGCGGUCUAUGGUUUGGGUUGGGGAGGAUCUAGAAAUUAUUUUCAAUAAUUCAAAUUGUCUAAUGCACAGGCUCUUGGUCUUUUUGGUGCUAUGGACCCCUACGGUGUCUUCUGUAACCCAUGGAUACUUCUCAGAAAAAUGUUUUAAAAUACAUUUUAUAUAUUUAUAUAUACAUAUUACAGAUUAUAAAUGAACCCAUUAUAUUGAAAUUAACAAAGUCAUAAAAAAUAAAGUUGGAUAUAAAAAUAUAUGUACUUUUCUAUAAACACAUUCAAUAAGAACAACCAGUGGGUUUGAGAACUACUGUAAUUUCAAAGUAACAGUGAUGGUGAUGCUGUUUCAAGGUAUUUGCAACGGCAUUUGUAUUUGAUAUCAAAGUAUCUCUGCUUUCUAUUGGUGACAGAGUCAAAGAUACCGCUAAGGCAGCUGUGGUUUGUGGCCUACAUUCAUAAUGGGAGGAAAUGCUAAAUUUAAAAAUUCAUAACAGAAGGAAAAGCUAUUUAAGUUUGAGGUUAGUGAAAAUAAAAUGCAUUUUCCCCCCAAGUUCACUGACCCCCUGAAUACUAUCCACAGACCCUUGCCCUAGGUUAAGAACCCUUUUUUAAGAACCCAAUAAUCACCUAAUGAAAAUACUAAGGUUACUCCUCAGUAAAACAGCUGCAUUUUUUUUUUGCCGACAUGAUAUUAAUUAUAUCAAUCUAUCAUAAUAUUUGAUCAUUAAUUGAUAUCCAGAAACAAAUUCAAGAUGGCUUGUGGACACCGUCUUCGCUGAGAAUGGAUCUGGAUGAUGUUUAUAGCAGACCUUCCUGGAUCUAGCUGUAUCACUUCCGAAAAGUAGCAUAAGACAUGCUACUAUCUAAAGACUUUGCCCGGGAGGACCACAUUAUUUCAGUACAGCACAGAAGUCAGCUGGGAAAAGGAAGCUAAUCUUUUGAGUAAAUAACAAGCGUUUUUCUAGGAGUCUGCAUUACCAAUGGUCUAUCAGUGUUUCAAGAGAACAAAGACCACUUGUAAACCAACAAUGCACAGCAGAGACUGAGGUCUAAGAUUUAGCUUAAGGUUUUGGCUGAGGAUUUUACAGAAUAAGAGCCCCACCAGUAGAUACUAUUGACUAGAGGACACUUUUCUAAAAGUGAUGUUUCAGAUCAAUGGCUGGUUUGUUAAGAGUGAAACUAUGUUCUCAAGUUUCUGGUUGGCCUGGGAGGAAGUAAAAUAGGUCAGGAUUUAGAGCAGCCUUUAGGGAUCAGAAUGAAAGUUUAUCCAAACAUAAGCCACAUGGGGUUCCUAGAAGCCAAAGCCAUUCUGGCAUCAACAAAGGGGCAAAAGAAAUCAUAAUUUUGGGUUCCUCCAAAUAGGAUGCAUAUUAGAAUUUCCUAACAAGCUUAUAUCCUAAUGCUCAGGUCCUAUCUCAGACAAAUAAAGUAAGAAUAUUUGGAGAUAGAUACACUGUUUUAGGAAAAUGUAGCAAGUUUAACAAUGGUACCAAAUUCUUUGCCAUUCUUCCCAUUAAGAGGAAUGUGAACUUCCUCUGUGAUUGGCUUUGACCAAAAGAAUGCAAUGGAAAUAAUAUUCUGGGACUUUUGAACCUGGGUCUUAAAAGGACUGACAUCUUUUGCUUCUCAAUUUGGGAGACCAGCUGCCAUGCUUCAUAGCCCAGACCAAGACACCGAAUGGUUUGCAGCCAUAUGGAGAGAGCACUGGAGAAGAGAAGGCCACCUCGGAUGUCCUAGCUUUUGCCAUAUUCCCCACGGAAUGCAGCUGCAUGGAUGGCCUUCAUGUAGCUCAUGUGAGUCAGAACAAUCACUGAGUUAAGCCCAUUCCACCCACAUAUGAUGAGAAAUAAUAAACUGUUGUUGUGUCAA